rnacentral:rRNA from 1 species
AAGGGGCUUCGGCCCUGAGUAGAGUGGCAAACGGGUGAGUAACGCGUGGGUGACCUGCCUUCGAGUGGGGGAUAACGUUUCGAAAGGAACGCUAAUACCGCAUGACAUCCUGCCUUUAGAGAGGCGGAGAUCAAAGCUGGGGAUCGCAAGACCUGGCGCUUGGAGAGGGGCCCGCGUCCGAUUAGCUAGUUGGUGGGGUAAUGGCCUACCAAGGCGACGAUCGGUAGCCGGCCUGAGAGGGCGGACGGCCACACUGGGACUGAGACACGGCCCAGACUCCUACGGGAGGCAGCAGUGGGGAAUUGUUCGCAAUGGGCGCAAGCCUGACGACGCAACGCCGCGUGGAGGAUGAAGGUCUUCGGA